rnacentral:lncRNA from 1 species
GAUCGAGUGUUUGCCUUGGUUCAGAGGUAGGUUUUGGAUAUGUUAUUUUUCGUGCUCUUUUUUUGGGAUCUGAUCUAUUGAUGGUGGAUCUUAGCGUUGGACAAAAAUUUGCAAACCAAUUAAUCUGACCUAUCCACGAGGCCUUACAACACAUAUUAGUUUGACAGAUUUUUUGGAUUAUCGGUUUGGCCAGGAAUGGGUUUAGAUGGGUUAUACCAGCCAAAUUCAGAUGGGUUGUUUGGGACCAACGAAAUCCAGAAUCGACCGAUCCUGUAUGAUGGUUAUUAGUUUGUGAGAUUUUUUUUGAGGUUAAGUAG